AUUGAACGCUGGCGGCAUGCCUUACACAUGCAAGUCGGACGGUAGAGGGGCAACCCUCGAGAGUGGCGAACGGGUGAGUAAUGCAUCGGAACGUGCCCAGUAGUGGGGGAUAGCCCGGCGAAAGCCGGAUUAAUACCGCAUACGACCUACGGGUGAAAGGGGGGGAUCGCAAGACCCCCCGCUAUUGGAGCGGCCGAUGUCAGAAUAGGUAGUUGGUGGGGUAAAGGCCUACCAAGCAGACGAGCUGUAGCUGGUCUGAGAGGACGACCCGCCACACUGGGACUGAGACACGGCCCAGACUCCUACGGGAGGCAGCAGUGGGGAAUUUUGGACAAUGGGCGAAAGCCUGAUCCAGCCAUGCCGCGUGCGGGAAGAAGGCCUUCGGGUUGUAAACCGCUUUUGUCAGGGAAGAAAUCCUUUGGGCUAAUACCCUGGGGGGAUGACGGUACCUGAAGAAUAAGCACCGGCUAACUACGUGCCAGCCGCCGCAGUAACAC
rnacentral:rRNA from 1 species